UAUGUGCAUGUACGAUAUGGCCAUCCCACACAAGCUAGCCUCUUCCCAUGCGGCAAAUUGCUUUUUGUGCACUUCAAGCUUCCCCCACAUGUGUGUGCUGCCCAUGGAUGCAAGCUGAUCAUCCUACACAAGUGUGUGAUUGCAUGUGCGAGUAAAAGAUCCUUCAAGGUUAUGACUUAGCCCGACUUGCUCCCUUUCGGUGUGAUUUCCUUAGGUGGUGGCCCUCCUUGGUCAUGAGGCCUUGGGUCUUCAUUGACUUUGGUCAAGGCUUGGUCUUUCUCCUCCUAGGCGAGUCUUCAAGCCCACGAGUACCUUCU
rnacentral:lncRNA from 1 species